CCUACGGGAGGCAGCAGUGAGGAAUAUUGGUCAAUGGCCGAGAGGCUGAACCAGCCAAGUCGCGUGAGGGAAGACGGCCCUACGGGUUGUAAACCUCUUUUGUCGGGGAGCAAAGCGAACCACGUGUGGUUCAUUGAGAGUCACCGAAGAAAAAGCAUCGGCUAACUCCGUGCCAGCAGCCGCGGUACUACGAAGGAUGCGAGGGUUAUCAGGAUUUAUUGGGUUUAAAGGGUGCGCAGGGGGAGGGGCAAGUCGGCGGUCAAAUUGCGGGGCUCAACCCCGUACUGCAGUUGAAACGGCUUCCCGUGAGUGCUCUAGAGGUAUGCGGAAUGCGUGGUGUAGCGGUGA
rnacentral:rRNA from 1 species